rnacentral:tRNA from 1 species
GGCCAGUUAGCUCAAUCGGUUAGAGCGUGGUGUUGAUAACACCAAGGUUGUGGGGUUCAAUCCCCGUUCAGUCCC